AGUGAACGCUGGCGGUAGGCCUAACACAUGCAAGUCGAACGGCAGCACAGUAAGAGCUUGCUCUUACGGGUGGCGAGUGGCGGACGGGUGAGGAAUACAUCGGAAUCUACUUUUUCGUGGGGGAUAACGUAGGGAAACUUACGCUAAUACCGCAUACGACCUACGGGUGAAAGCAGGGGAUCUUCGGACCUUGCGCGAUUGAAUGAGCCGAUGUCGGAUUAGCUAGUUGGCGGGGUAAAGGCCCACCAAGGCGAUGAUCCGUAGCUGGUCUGAGAGGAUGAUCAGCCACACUGGAACUGAGACACGGUCCAGACUCCUACGGGAGGCAGCAGUGGGGAAUAUUGGACAAUGGGCGCAAGCCUGAUCCAGCCAUACCGCGUGGGUGAAGAAGGCCUGCGGGUUGUAAAGCCCUUUUGUUGGGAAAGAAAAGCAGCAGGUUAAUACCCCGCUGUUCGGACGGGACCCAAAGAAUAAGCACCGGCGAACUUCGU
rnacentral:rRNA from 1 species